CACAGUUUUCCAAAAAAAAAAAAAGACAAACCAACGACCGCGCUGUGAGCUCUCGCGGGGAUAGGGUUCGAGCCGCCGCCCCUCGGCCUGGCCGCCGGCGGCGCGCUGCUCCUCCGGCCACCCCUCUUCUCCCUCACCGUACGCCGCUCCUGAGUAGCAUGCAGCUCGCCGGACCAUGCGCCGCCCCCUGAGCAGCGCCUAGCUCGCCGGACCGAUUCGUGCCAGCCCCGCCCACCUGAGCUCCGCCUCUGCAAGUGUCGACUCCCCCUCCAACGCCCUCUGCCCCUCAUGGCAUCUCUCUCCACUCUUCUCCUCCAUCCAAGAUUUGGUGGUCCGACUCAUAUCCUAGUGAGUUUGCGUUUGCACAGUGCAUCAGUGUAAAUGCUAGUAUAUACAAGGAAGGACGCGAUGGUCAGAUCGUCGCCAGCCCCUAUCCUGACCCCAAGGUCACAGGCAGCAUCGAUCCGGACGCGCAGGUCGCCGCCACCCCCAACCUUGACGCCCCUGCCCUGGGCAACAGGGCUCUUAAAAUGCAUUCCAGAGGAUUCAACAUCUUGGAGAUAUUCGAAACGGGAAGA